AGUAGUUUGAUCAUGGCUCAGAAUCAACGCUGGCGGCGUGCCUCAGACAUGCAAGUCGAACGAUUAAAGCUCUCUUCGGAGAGUGUAUAGAGUGGCGCACGGGUGAGUAACACGUAAGUAAUCUACCCUCGAGUGGGAAUAACAACCGGAAACGGUUGCUAAUACCGCAUAAUGCAGCGGCACCGCAAGGUGACAGUUGUUAAAGAUUUAUCGCUUGAGGAGGAGCUUGCGGCAGAUUAGCUAGUUGGUAGGGUAACGGCUUACCAAGGCUACGAUCUGUAACCGGUCUAAGAGGACGGUCGGUCACACUGACACUGAAUAACGGGUCAGACUCCUACGGGAGGCAGCAGUCGGGAAUUUUGGGCAAUGGGCGAAAGCCUGACCCAGCAACGCCGCGUGAAGGAUGAAGUAUUUCGGUAUGUAAACUUCGAAAGAAUAGGAAGAAUUAAUGACGGUACUAUUUAUAAGGUCCGGCUAACUACGUG
rnacentral:rRNA from 1 species